GCUGAGCUGCUGAUGGACACGUUUAACAUGACGUCGUAGCGGCUGGUUAUAUCACGGCAGCCGAACGUGGCAGAACUUCCUUUUUGUAGGUGAAAUUCAAGGGAAGAACUGCAAAUGUUCGGCGCCAUCUUGUACGAACGAUGUGGUCUUGCGAACACCUUGCUGAGGUGACUAUGCAUUACCUUUGAAUGUAUUAAAGAGUAAGUUGCCAGUCGGUAGAUUUGCUCUGCAUUUUCCCGGAUACCAGCACCCUGCUUCGCGAGAACUACUCUUACGUUAUUCUCGGGGACUUAGACGAACAUCUGAAUCCGAUUUUGAAGAAGUCUUGCAUCGAUGGACACUGACAAAAUAGAGGCAGAUUCGUGAUUAUAAAGAAUUGGGAAAGAAAAUUGACGGAGGUUCAGUGCCAAAAAAAUUAUGGUAGUUAGAAUGAUGACCGAAGCUCCUCGGUUUCGUUUAUUUCACGCGUUAUGCUGUCAAACCAAAAAACUAUUAGCAACCUACUACGUUGCAGACAUCAAACUAUACCAGUGCUCAUUGAGAGGUUUAGCUCAUGAAACUUCAUUUGUAAAGAAUACUUCCCAUUGAGGAACAUCACCAAAGAUGCAAAUCCUAUGGGUAGGAAUACCAUAAUAUCGUUCUUCUACUCUUUAACCACUCAUGGUCUCCUGUCAAUCAUGAUCUGAGUGGUGCACCAUAUUCAUCUUCGUUGCAGUGUCAACUGUACUGACAGUCAUUAUGGCAGUUGUAAUCUCUACUUAGCCUACCAACAGACACAUACAUGUACCUCAACUCAAUUUCUACUGAAUUGCCAACUCUUAGCCGUCUGCUGCCUAUUUGCUGGCCCUACAGUCUUUCUAGCCAUCGGACAGCAGAAAACAAAGCCUUCUUCGUCUUCGCCACGCCCGUCGUCACCUCGCCCGUCAUUCCGUCUUCGCUUCGGCCGUCGU